GGAGGUUCAAAUUGUUUUUUCUUCACAUAAUAUUAUUGAUGCUGUUCAGCGCACUAAAGGGGAUAAUAAAUGGGUUCGUGUCACUGGGGUGUAUGGGUGAUGUGAGAAUUACUUGACACACAAAUUAAACCCUCUUUUUGACAAUUGUAGUAUAGAUGUAAGUAGGGUAUCGUUAUAGGCCGGGGAUUAGGAGGGAUUGCUAAUCUAUUCUAAAUUAAUUUAAAAAUAUUAAACAAGACUCAAGGACACAAAACUAGGCUAAAAACUCUAAUAACUCGAAACACACUUAGAAUGACUCAAAAUAAUGAAAACAAUCAAAUUAGACACUAGGAACUGAAAUGGACGGAAACUGAAUUAAAAGACUAACAAAAAUGAAAACUAACUAAAUAAUAUAAUUUAAUAAUGGGAGGGGUUGGUUUUGACGAGAAGUAAAUUAAACUUAAAUAAAUUACAGAAUUGACAAAAGCAUGAAAUUAAGGUGAAAGGAUAAGUGAUAGACUAGCUAGAGGGUUCUUCUCCACACAUGAUACAUAUGCAACCUAAAUUGAUUUUCAGUUGUUCUUUCAAUAAAUUGUGAAUCUCAAUACUUCAGAUUAACCGUGAACAACACUUUUUUAAUCUUCAAGUUUUCCUUAAGUUAUUGAAUUGGACGGAAAAACGCAUACAACAAUUCAAAACAUUCUUCAAAAGUCCCCUACGUGAAAAGCACAAUAGAGAUACAAUCAAGGAUCAUUAAACUUUGUGAAAACUAUAAGCAUUGACGAGGCAUUCGUAACUAUGAAAAGCAUGAUACUCUUGCCAAGAAUUUACUUAACGUGAUUGUGACUAGCAACCUUCACUACUUGUGAAUAUAUGUUCAUAACGAUUAGGUGAAAUUCACUUAUAUUCUAGCAUCAAAUUCAUGCAUGUAAAUUAAGUAUGCAUUCUUAAUCGACAUACAAAAAUAAGUUAUCAAUCAAACAGUUAAGCAAAUUAAAUCACAACUCAGAAAUCACAACUGAAGGUAAUCAAUUCAUAUUACAAAUAUAUUCAUGGUUUUGAAUUAACCUCUAGCCAAAAUAAAUUUAGUUACACAUUAUUAUCAAAUUAAACCAAAAAUUAAACAUGAGUUUGAGAAGAUAAAACCAAGAAAAUAGAGUGAAGCUUUGCUCUCUGUGCCCUGCUUGUUUCUGCUUCUGUGCCGUGGCCCUCUCUUUUUUCCGCGCGCCUGUUGACCUGCGCCUAUCCUCCUCACUGCUCUCUAUCCGCACAGUUUUCUGUGCUGCCUCUCCUUCUCUGCCUUCGUGUUCCUCACGCUGCCAAGGGCAGCUUUUUAUUCUGCCAGUCACGCCAGUCUCCCCUCUCUCUCGCUGCCAAAGGCAGCCUGUUUUUCCCCCUUUUUAUCGCCUGGCAAGUCCCUGACUUGCUCUCCCCGUGCCUCACGUCUCUCCUCUUUUUCCUCUGACCCCGCUGUCUCCUUGGAUUCUUCUUUUCACGUCCUCUCUGUUGAUGUAAACCAGCUGGUCCACCUGCGUCCCACGGCAGCUUGCACUUGCCCGUCUUCCCCUUGACCAUCUCGAGACUCCAAGCUUUUCUAGUCUCUCCUCUUAUUUUCUGUUAUGCACAAAAACAUGAAUCAUGAUGAUGUUUCAAACUUCAUCAUGAUUUAUCAUUAUUAUUUCUUUUAUUGAUUUUAUUUAAAAGCUGAUCUACACAGACAGGUUUGACGAAUUUAUUACAUAAAAUUUCACUUGUUCUAUUUUUAUUUUCUUUGCAUAACAAAUCCUAUAAACACAAAAAUAACGCAAAUAGCUCAAAAAUAUAAGGAACUAACUAAGAAAAGACGAGUGAAUUCGAAGUAAAAAUAUAUAUAAAUAUGAUCCGAUCAAAUACCCCCACACUUAACUUUUGCUAGUCCUCGAGCAAAACAAAGAAAACAAGAACAAGACGUAACAAGAAAAACAUUAGUUUCCCCCUAUGUGACCCUCAUAGAAUUUCAUUCAAGAAAACAAAUCAUCAAGAACCAUAGCUAGCAUCAAGGAACUAAUCCAAGUUCAUCUUCCUUAUUCAAAUAUUAGCAGUAAUCUUUAAAUCAUCCUUGAAGUGUAGUGUGUGAGAUAGCCAUGCUAAUGCAAUUUCAAGUUUUUAUUUUUAAAAUCAUCAUAUGCAAACUAGUAACCUUCUCACGGGAUAUACACUCAAUCACACAUGUGUUUAGUUUAAAUGUGUUUCGCUCAAAGAAUCAAAUGUGAAAUUUCUACCAUAAGCUUGCAUAAAGAUCUCAUCUCCACAAUCAUAAUUGCAAAACUUACAUCAAGAGGACUUUUAUUGGAUGUAAUGAGGUUUAGGGAGAGGGUUAUUGAAAUGAAAGAAUAGGUAAACACAAGUUCCAAGCUACAUUGCAAGCAAUUCUUUUCUUUAGAUUUAUAAGAACUCAAUCUUUCCAACGAUUCUUUUAGCAUCUCCAACCACACCCUUAAACUGAAACUUGAACAACUUUUUAUUUUCUUUGUGUGCAAUCUUUCUUUUUUCUUUUUCUUUUUCUCUCUUUUCUCCUUUUUUUUUUUUUUUUUCAUUUAUAUCAUUUUUUUUAAAUACAAACAUGAAAUACCCCCACACUUAUUCUUUUGCCAAACACCUUCAAAGUACUUCACAAACGUUUCUCAUAAGACAAUCUCGCAUUGCUCGCUUGGAAAGGGUAAGGAAAAAUGUUUCAGGUAUAAGGGUAGACAUAUCUGGUGAUAAGAAAUAAAAGGCUCAACAUACACGGCUCAAAUUGGCAAUCUAAUGAUAUCAUUUUUCUUUGGGAAACAUGGUUAUUUGGGCCAUAGUGGUAAACCUAAUGCCUCUAUCAUUUCCAAAUUCAUGCAAUCAAUGACAAACAUUUCGAAAGAUCGUUAUGCAAGUUCUAGAGAUGUAUCUCACAUAAGUUCAUCACACAUGAAAGAAUAGGAGUGUAUGAAAAAUGCACACACUUUCAAUAGGCUCAAAAACUCACAUAGGAUGUAUAUGGUCACUAAAUUCACAUAUGAAGCUUUAAGUCAUACUUUAGUUUCACAUUAACAAGGCUAUGUGCAUUUGGUUUUUCAAAGAUGGUCAAACAUGUACAAAACUAACAAGAGAAUUAGGAAUUUCACAAAACACAUGUUAACUAAGUUCUUGAUGAUCAUGGUUCAAAUUUGAUCCAAUUAUAUCAUUGGGUCGGGAAACUAACAAAAAAACUAAUUCAAAACAAUAAGGGAAACAAGACAAUAUUUUUUUGGAUUUUUAAAUUUUCCGAUUUUUUUAUUAUUAUUAUUAUUAUUAUUUUUAUUUUUUAUUUUUUAUUUUUUUAAAGAAAACAAAAAGCAACAACACAGAAACAAAUGAAAUUCUAGAGAUGUCUACCCCCACACUUAAACUGGACAUUGUCCCCAAUGUCAAAAAACACUAUAAUGCAAAUAAAAAUAAAAUAAAAUAAAAUAAAUAAAUAAUAAGAAACAAAAUAACGCAAUUGGACUGAAAACUUCCCUAGUUUGCAGUAAAACCAAGCGAUGACCCCCCAAGCUAAAAUUAUGCAAUCAACUUCAAGGGUGGAAAUAACCAAAAGUUCCUGCAAAGAAAAGAAAUAAUUCAGUUAAGUAACGCAAGAAAAUUAAAAAAAUUGCAAACGAAAAAUUGAAAAUCACGAUAAAAGACAAUGAAUAGAACUAAUAAGUGAUCAUUGGUCGUGCUUGUUGACUUUCCACAGCUUUCCACUUGAACAGGGUGACACUUAGCUUUUUACUUGCAAGUGAUGAUUUGAUGAUAUUGUACGGCGAGGCUUUGCUCUCUUUGGCGAAGAGUGCCUCCAAAUGUUGUUUGAAGCUGCUCGAGUUCUUGGAUUUCUCGCAAUCCUUCUCGCUGAUUUUCUCGCACUCCUUUUUCUGAGUUCUUCGCUGCUUGUUUCUUUCUUCCGUAUGGCAGGCAGGCACAAGGUAGCUGUGUUGGUCUGAUUCUUUCUUCAAUCUUUCCAAGUGCCCACCUCUUGCUUUCUUUCUCCUUGUCCCUAGCUGAGGAUGAAUUGACAAAUUGUCUCCACAUGCUUCGAGGUAUCAUUUUCACCUCCCUUACUUGUCCCCCAAGUAGAUGUGGUAGACAAAACGGAAACAUAAGAUGAAGAAGAUGAGUACUCGAGAGCAAGGCUAGGUAAGCAAUCAGGAAGGGGUUCAAGGCAGUUGGCUCCAAAUCGGAAGAUUGAUACCAAAUGCUGGCUGAUUGCUCUCUUUCUCAUUUUCGUAAAACAAAGACAAGGAGAAGGACAGGGAGAAAGCAUGAUAUGAGAUACUCUUGCUUUCAACCUUUAUGAUAUGAAAUACUUUUGCUUUGAAUGUGUUGUUCGCAGGAGUAUCCCAAGGAAUGAGGAACACAGAGUAACUUAGGAGGAUUCUUUGGGGAUGCAUUUUCGGAGAUGAAGAAGGUUUGAGUGAGGCUACUUUGCAAUGAAGUUUAACAUUUAUAGAAUUUUCUUAAUGGCUGGUAGAGGUACUGUUCAAUUAUCCUAGGGUUACCGACACGAGUAAAAGAACAGUGCAACGUGCUUUCCCACUUCACCAUAAAUUUUCGACCAGCUAUUCGUGAUUUCCGCAAAGCAGAUUCCUCAUUGAUAUCUGGAAUCGGCGCUUCGAGCUCUGAGCAUCGUCGAUUGUAGAGGUAGCAUGUGACACGUGCGGAUAAAUCUGGAAAAGAAGAUUUGCCCGUGGGUUGAAGCCCAGCUUUUGAGAAAGCUAGCGUGUCUUUGACUGUUGAAUUUCCCUCUUUGAUUUCUGAAUUGGUGCUUCGACAAACUGCCCGAGAUUUUUGCAAAGCAAUUUGCGUGUGACGAGUGACGACACGUCUGGACAAAUUGAUCUUUUGAAAUCCGGGGUUCGGCUCGUGGUUUCUGAGCAAGCCCAACUUUUAAGAAAUGAAACGCCUCUUUUGAGAAAAGAAUCCGGCUUUUGAUAAAGGAGCCCCGACUCUUCGAUUUGCGAGAGGGCGCCUCUUCGAUUUUUGAGGAGCGCCUCUUUGAUUUCUUCUUUUUAUAGAGGCGUUAAUUUUGUUCCACAACACACUUGAACUCCCUCCUGUAAACACUCCCUCCUGUAAACUUCCAAAAUCUUAAUCUGUCCGAUCUCUUCUUUCUCAACACCUUCAGAAAAUGUCUGGCCCUUUCGAUCGUCGUUUUGGCUUGAACAUUGGUGAAGAGGCAGCUCCGCCUUCACCAGACAACAUAUGGCGCCCAUCUUUCAUAUCCCCUACAGGUCCUCUUACCGUUGGGGAUUCGGUGAUGAAAAAUGACAUGACCGCUGCGGUGGUGGCCCGAAACCUUGUCACCCCCAGAGAUAACAGACUGCUCGCUAGACGGUCUGAUGAAUUGGCGGUUAAGGAGUCUCUGGCUCUUAGCGUGCAGUGUGCGGGUUCUGUGUCCAACAUGGCCUAACGCCUAUUUGCUCGAACCCGUCACGUUGAAUCGUUGGUGGCUGAAAUACAGAGUCUCAAGCAAGAGAUUAGAGGGCUCAAGCAUGAGAAUAAAGAGUUGCACAAGCUCACACAUAGCUAUGCCACCAACAUGAAGAGGAAAAUUGACCAGAUGCAAGACACUGAUGGUCAAAUUUUACUUGAUCAUCGGAGGUUUGUGGGUUUGUUCCAACAGCAUCUGCCUUCGUCUUCUGGAGCGGCAUCGCGUAGUGAAGCUCCAACUGAUCAACCUCCGAUACCUCCUCCUUCCGUGGCCCCGCCGACUGCUGAAGCUCCGCCGACUACUAAAGCACCACCUGACCAAUGAAUGCUAUUAGUUUACACAUCAUUGUAAAAUAUUUUUACUUUUAUGUUUUUUUUUUUUUUUUUUUUUUUUUUUUUUUUUUUUUUAGGUGUGUUUUGUUUUUUUUUUUUUUUUUUUUUUUUUUUUUUUUUUUUUUUUUUUUUUUUUUUUUUUUUUUUUUUUUUUUUUUUUUUUUUUUUUUUUUUUUUUUUGUUUUUUUUUUAAAUCAAUGUAAAAUAUGUAAAUCAAUGUAAAAAGACUUUGUUUAACCUUCCCCCACACUUAAACUAAAUAACACAAACUCACAGAAAUCAACCAAAUAACACAACUAACUGAACAAAACAAAAUGAAAGCAGUAAAGAUAAGGGUGUAAGAAUGCAAAUCUGAUUUGGUUAGCGAUUCCAAAGUCUCCCUUCGUUGAAUGCUUGGGUUGCCUCCCAAGAAGCGCUUGAUUUAACGUCUUUAGCCGGACGAAUCUUUCCUUUAAAUUCCCCUCGGCUCCAAAGCAUGAAAUUUAUCUUUUAAUGGGAGGUGAUACUUGAAAUGAUUCGGCAAUGGUUUAAAUUCAAGAGUGGGUGCCUGAAUCAUCAAAAUCAGAAACAUGUUAGUAUAAAUUAAAAUUAAAAUUGGAGAAGAUGGCUUACCUUCUUUUUCCGACACAAACUCAAUGACAAACACCACAUUGUUGAACAUUUCCGGGACUUUGAACUUGGCCAGGUUUACAAUGAUGGUUGUGGCUUGUCCCGUGUCAUCAAACUCAACUGCUUUGGGCUUGAUUGUGUCAUGCACAGCCUCUUGGAUGUAUUCUUGAUAUGCUUCAACCACUUCAUUUUCUUGAAUCCCUUUUCUUGGUGUGCAAGGUUCUUUGAACGUUUCAAUACCAUCGGGAACUUGUUUUGGUGCACCAAGAAUUGGGAUAUCACUUUGCACCUUUGGAAGAGCUUCCACAAUGUCUUUUUCACUCUCUUUGAUAUUUGGAAUCAAAAACCUGCAAGGACAAAGGACAUUCGGUGGAAUAAUGUUAGAAUGAAGUGAAUUUAGAACUUCCUCACCUGAGUUGGAUGACAUAGGGAUUUGAGGAGCUUGCAGCAAGAAUUCUUCUAAACUGCCCAGGUCGUCCUCCUCCUCUUCUGCUUGCAGCAGCAAUUCAUCCAUGUUCGGGCUGUGUUUGGAUGGUUCUGGGACAGCUUCAUCCUUCAUGUCACCUUCCAAAGUGAUGGCUUCAUCGAAUUCAACUUCUGCCUUUGAAUUUGCAAUGUUUGAGUUGGAAAGUUCACUUUGCUCUUGAAUUUGUACCAUGAAUUCCAUAAUCUCUCCCAUUUGACUCUUCAAUUUAUCCAACUCCUUCUCUUGAUUUUGUUGGUCCUGCGUCAAAGAGGUUAGUACUUGAAGAAUUUGAUCACUAUCCAUGGACAUACUUGAAUUAGAUUGGAAUUGUUGUGGGGUAUGCGGUGGUGGCUGUAUAGGUGUGGUGUAGAACUCCUCAUAUGGCUGCCAAUAUGCAUCUUGUUGAGCCUCCUUGGCUUGAUUUUGUGAGCCCUGCACCAAACAAUUUAAUUCAUUAAGAAUUUGAUUAUAAUUUAUUGACGAACCUGAGUUUGAUUGAGCAUAUUGCAUAGGUUUUGAAUAGAACUCCUCCUCUUGCUGCCAAUAUCCAUCUUGUUGGAAUUGUUGAGGUUCCCCCCACAUAUAAUUUGAAUGACCUCUCCAAUCUGAAUUGCAAGCGUUGGUAAACAUGUUGCCCCUUGAUUGGUUAUAGCCUUGAUAUCCCCAAACAUCUUCAUUUGCAGAAAAUUGAGGACUUUGAUAACCUUGCCCAUAGGGCACAUCAAAUGUAGGGGCACUUUGCAUUGUGGUCCUUUCAGCAUUAUGAGUCAAUUGAGCAGUGAGCUGUGCCAAUUGAGCUUGAAUGGUCGCAAGUGCCAUGUCUUGCUCCAUUUGUACCUAAAAUCAAAGAAAGAAAAAUAAAUCAAAUAUCAAAAGUAAAAUACACAAACACCAAUAUAAACAUAAGCAAAAACAAAAAUAAAGGGAUUAGCAAAGUUGCUAAUCCCCGGCAACGGCGCCAAAAUUUGAUGUGAGAAUUACUUGACACACAAAUUAAACCCUCUUUUUGACAAUUGUAGUAUAGAUGUAAGUAGGGUAUCGUUAUAGGCCGGGGAUUAGGAGGGAUUGCUAAUCUAUUCUAAAUUAAUUUAAAAAUAUUAAACAAGACUCAAGGACACAAAACUAGGCUAAAAACUCUAAUAACUUGAAACACACUUAGAAUGACUCAAAAUAAUGAAAACAAUCAAAUUAGACACUAGGAACUGAAAUGGACGGAAACUGAAUUAAAAGACUAACAACAAUGAAAACUAACUAAAUAAUAUAAUUUAAUAAUGGGAAGGGUUUGGUUUUGACGAGAAGUAAAUUAAACUUAAAUAAAUUACAGAAUUGACAAAAGCAUGAAAUUAAGGUGAAAGGAUAAGUGAUAGACUAGAUAGAGGGUUCUUCUCCACACAUGAUACAUAUGCAACCUAAAUUGAUUUUCAGUUGUUCUUUCAAUAAAUUGUGAAUCUCAAUACUUCAGAUUAACCGUGAACAGCACUUUUUUAAUCUUCAAGUUUUCCUUAAGUUAUUGAAUUGGACGGAAAAACGCAUACAACAAUUCAAAACAUUCUUCAAAAGUCCCCUACGUGAAAAGCACAAUAGAGAUACAAUUAAGGAUCAUUAAACUUUGUGAAAACUAUAAGCAUUGACGAGGCAUUCGUAACUAUGAAAAGCAUGAUACUCUUGCCAAGAAUUUACUUAACGUGAUUGUGACUAGCAACCUUCACUACUUGUGACUAUAUGUUCAUAACGAUUAGGUGAAAUUCACUUAUAUUCUAGCAUCAAAUUCAUGCAUGU
rnacentral:lncRNA from 1 species